CCGAGUUUACAAACUCCCAAACCCUUUGUGAACCUUACCUAUCGUUGCUUCGGCGGGAUCGCCCCGGCGCCUUCGGGCCCGGAACCAGGCGCCCGCCGGAGGCCCCAAACUCUUAUGUCUUUAGUGGUUUUCUCCUCUGAGUGACACAUAAACAAAUAAAUAA
rnacentral:misc_RNA from 1 species